AGAGUUGGCUGGACAGUCGCCGUUCCGCUUGCGGAAGGGAGGAAAGUCCGGGCUCCACAGGGCGGAGUGCCAGGUAAUGCCUGGGAGGCGCGAGCCUACGGAAAGUGCAGCAGAGAGUAGACCGCCGAUGGCCCCGCAAGGGGAUCAGGUAAGGGUGAAAGGGUGCGGUAAGAGCGCACCGCGCGACUGGCAACAGUUCGUGGCACGGUAAACCCCACUCGGAGCAAGACCAAAUAGGAACCCAUCGGUGUGGCCCGCACUGGGUUCGGGUAGGUUGCUAGAGGUUGUCAGUGAUGGCAAUCGUAGACGAAUGACUGUUCUCGACAGAACCCGGCUUACAGGCCAACUCUGAUU
rnacentral:RNase_P_RNA from 1 species